GUCCGCCCCGCCGGGCGGACGGCCGGGAGCCCGGUCCGACCGGGCGACGGCGGGCGGCCGUACCGACGAGCGGGCCGCUUCCGGCGGGCGGUCA
rnacentral:tRNA from 1 species